rnacentral:misc_RNA from 1 species
AAGUCGUAACAAGGUCUCCGUUGGUGAACCAGCGGAGGGAUCAUUACCGAGUUUACAACUCCCAAACCCCUGUGAACAUACCAAUUGUUGCCUCGGCGGAUCACGCCCCGCAUCCCGGUAAACGGGACCGGCCCAGCAGACGACCCUAAACUCUGUUUCUAUAUGUAACUUCUGAGUAAAACCAUAAAUAAAUCAAAA